rnacentral:misc_RNA from 1 species
AAGACUAUAGACCUGCGGAGUACCUGCGGAAGGAUCAUUAACAAAUUCUAUAAAGGAAUAAACACACAACUGUGCAACCUGGUCAACACUGACAGCCAUAACGCGCAUAUAACAAUGUAGACAUUUAAAACGUACAUAGUAUAUACAACUUUCAACAAUGGAUCUCU